rnacentral:tRNA from 1 species
ACUUAAAUAGCUUAUAUUAAGAGCGUAGUGCUGAAGAUACUAAGGAGAUUUAUAAUUUUUAAGUA